rnacentral:tRNA from 1 species
GGUGGCUCAGUGGUAGAGUGCUUGACUUUCAUGAGGCCCUGGGUUCAAUUCCCAGCACCA